GUUAAUUAUAAUAUUAGUAAUAUCGAAGUCCUAGUGAUUGUUUCUGCAUUAUAUUAACAGCGCAGUAGAGCGCCGAUUGAGAAUAUGCAUAAAGUGCUGAAGUGGCCGUCUGUAUGGCGUCAGAGAGAAAAGACUGGUUCUUCUGGUUGAAGAGAUUCGGGUCUUAAUCAAAAGAUACGCUCAGAUACUGGCCGAGCAAGAGAUGAAUGCGCGCAGGGUAGAAGAUCAUCCCGCCAGCCAGCCAACUUAACGACCCACCUUAGC